rnacentral:rRNA from 1 species
UACGUAGGGUGCAAGCGUUGUCCGGAAUUAUUGGGCGUAAAGAGCUUGUAGGCGGUUUGUCGCGUCUGCUGUGAAAUUUCGGGGCUCAACCCCGAACUUGCAGUGGGUACGGGCAGACUAGAGUGUGGUAGGGGAGACUGGAAUUCCUGGUGUAGCGGUGAAAUGCGCAGAUAUCAGGAGGAACACCGAUGGCGAAGGCGGCCCUCUGGACCGGUACUGACGCUGAUGCGCGAAAGCGUGGGUAGCAAACGGG